AUCCAGCUAACUAGUCCGAAAUAGGACGAAACGCGCGUCCUGGAU
rfam:Schistosoma curassoni strain Dakar, Senegal genome assembly, scaffold: SCTD_contig0003313